rnacentral:rRNA from 1 species
UAGGGAAUCUUCCACAAUGGACGAAAGUCUGAUGGAGCAACGCCGCGUGAGUGAAGAAGGGUUUCGGCUCGUAAAACUCUGUUGUUAAAGAAGAACAUAUCUGAGAGUAACUGUUCAGGUAUUGACGGUAUUUAACCAGAAAGCCAUGGCUAACUACGUGCCUG